CCCUAGUUAGCUCAGUUGGUAAAGCGCUCCACUGGAAAUGGAGAGGUCCCGGGCUCGAUCCCCGGACCAGGCG
rfam:Ixodes scapularis strain Wikel colony gcontig_1107728811474, whole genome shotgun sequence.